GAUGAACGCUAGCUACAGGCUUAACACAUGCAAGUCGAGGGGCAGCACAGUGUAGCAAUACAUGGGUGGCGACCGGCGCACGGGUGCGUAACGCGUAUCCAACCUUCCCGAUACUCUUGGAUAGCCUUCCGAAAGGGAGAUUAAUACAAGAUGGUGUUUCAAUUCCGCAUGUUAUUGAAACUAAAGAUUUAUCGGUAUCGGAUGGGGAUGCGUGACAUUAGAUAGUAGGCGGGGUAACGGCCCACCUAGUCUACGAUGUCUAGGGGUUCUGAGAGGAAGGUCCCCCACACUGUAACUGAGACACGGUCCAGACUCCUACGGGAGGCAGCAGUGAGGAAUAUUGGUCAAUGGUCGGAAGACUGAACCAGCCAAGUAGCGUGAAGGAUGAAGGUUCUAUGGAUUGUAAACUUCUUUUAUACGGGAAUAAAACCUCCCACGUGUGGGAGCUUGUAUGUACCGUAUGAAUAAGCAUCGGCUAACUCCGUGCCAGCAGCCGCAGUAACAC
rnacentral:rRNA from 1 species